rnacentral:rRNA from 1 species
AAGGUCCUCUGGAUUGUAAACUUCUUUUACCUGGGAAGAAACCCAUAUUUUCUAAUGUGGUUGACGGUACCAGAUGAAUAAGCACCGGCUAACUCCGUGC